rnacentral:lncRNA from 1 species
AUGAAGGAGCCAUCCUGGAUGGACUUCUUUCCCAAAGGCCUUGGUCUCUCUAAUCAUAGAUUCCUCUGCAGGGACCGAAGAGAUGGCUUGGAAAUGGACACCACUUCUGCUUCUUCUGGCCUGGACAGCCAACAUAUUGCAGCUCCUGGUACAGGGCAGACCUGGUCAAUGUAUGGAUAUCAAGCACCACAAGCUCCUGGACCAACACCUGCUAUUAAGCCAGCACAACCCAGUAACUACACAAGAAACCCUCCUACCUGUACAAUUUUAACUGGGAUCACUGCAGCAAGAUGGAGCCCACUUGCCAGAGACACUUCAUGGGAGACAGCUGUCUGUAUGAGUGCUUGCUCAACCCGGGAUGCUGGAUCCAGCACAUAACUGUGUGCUCCUCACCCCACUCCAGCAGGCUGUCCUCUGGCUCAGUCCGUGCAAGGUCAUGACUGUCAACAUCCCACUCCAUCCAGGUGGACUCAAGCUUUCCCAGAACACUUUUAAUGGGUGGACCCUUAUGCAAAGAUGACUGUCAGCGCUGGUGGGAAGACUGGGGCACCUCCUACACCUGCAACACAGAAUGGCCACAAGAGCUGGAACUGGACCUCAGGUGAGGCCUGGGGUGAGGAGAUAGAGGAACUAGUUGGAAAAGGGAACGUUCAAGAUUUAGAGUUGGAUGAUUUCUAGGGUGGUCAAAAAUGAGCUUUGGGCCCAGAGCUGCAUGUCUGUGUCCACAAUGAUUCUCCCUGCAGGAAUUAAUAAAUGCCCAGCCUGAGCUGUCUGCUGCACAUUUGAGUCCUGGUUCCUCUGCCCAGACAACUUUUGCGAGUUUAUCUGGUGUUUUCUCCUACAACAUCAGCAAUUACAUCCCAGGGAGUGGCCACUGUGUCCAGAUGUGGUUUAGCCCAGCAGGGCAACCCCAGUGAGAAGGUGGCCAAGUUCUAUGCUGCCAUGAGGGCUGGGGCCAGGCUCCACGGGACAUAACUUUUCACUCUCAGCUUGUCCCUGAUGCUGCCACUCUGGUUCCUUGCCUGAGUCCAGACCUACCCUUUGCCUGGCCCCAGCUUGGACAACCAGGCUGGGCUCAGCUCAGCUUUCACAAAUGAGGGAGCCCAAGCCUGUCUACAUCCAUUAGCCACCCCUCUGCCACUCAGUUUCUGCUCUAUGGUAGGGGCUAGGCUUUUUCCAACAGUCAGUUCUAACAAAUCUGUGACACAUCUGUGCCUGAGGAAUUAUUUUGGCUGUGAAUUUGUUGGGAGCCAGAUCCUCAUAGCUUUUUUUUUUUGGUACUGAGAAUCGAACUCUGGACCUUGCACUUUCGAGGCAGGCGCAGUGCCAUUGAGCUAAAUCCCUGGCCUUUUUUUUUUUUUUUUUCAAUCGAACUCUGGACCUUGCACUUUCGAGGCAGGCGCAGGGCCA